rnacentral:lncRNA from 1 species
UCGCCGGUCUCUGAACUGGUAAUGCAGCAACGACCUCCUCCCGAGGUGCGGUCGCCGGUGCCGCACGUGAAGAGCUGGGCGCGGGGGACUGCGCCCUCGGUGCGACGUCCACCACGGGUGCUGGCGGUGUGGGACCUUGGGUCUCCCUCGAAGCUGCCGCCUGCUGAAGUAGGAGGUUGUCACGCCCCGAGACUGCUACUAAUUUGGUCCGGCCCCGGGCGCGUCGAACAGACGGCAAACGGACAGGACCUCCCCUGUCCACCCAAGGCUAACCAACAGAUCAUGUAUAAGAAUUUACCCAGGAAUCAAUUCAUAAAUACACGAUCAAGAAGCACCACCAGUGCAACAACCAAGAGCAAGAUACAAGUAUAGAAACAUAUACAAGUACAUAAGAGAGAAGAGGUUAUCUAUUACAUUCAUUUAGCUCAAUACAUUUAAGUACGUCUUUUACAUUCUUCCAAAAAUAUAAGUACAAGCACUCAAACCUCACCCUAUACAUCAUCUACUCUCAAAUAUAAAUAAGGGUAGAGCUAACACAAAAGGGUAGGUGGCUAAUGAAACUAAGGCGCCGGGCCCUUACCGCGAUCCUCACGCUUGCCCGGGAAGCUCGAACUCGGACCUGUAAAGAGUGGGAUGAGAACUAACUUCCUUAGUUCCCAGUGGGUUCGGCCGCCGACUCCGCCGGUCUUCCCACUAGGUCCAAGUGGGCACAAGUAGAUAUACCGUUAUAUAGAUAAUAAGAAAAGCUGUAAGGACAGGAAAGUAAAGCUACACUACUAUGCCCAAUCAUAGAUAUAUGAAUGCAUGUCCAAUGAAAUGGUAAGCAACUAACCUGUCGUCAUGUCAAAAAGGUAAAGCUAUGUACCUAUUCAUCGAUCUUAUUUACUUGUUUCUUAAUCUCGUGGCUUCUCAGAAACUUGCCUACUGCUCACUAGCCAUCUCGAAGGUAGGGAGGGUCGACUCGCACUACUAACCGAGACCGUCUGCCGGGACCCAAAAUAGGCAAUCCCUUGGGACCCAAAAUAGGCAAUCCCUUGGGACCCAAAAUAGGCAAUCCCACGUGACCAACUCCGGAGCGCACUACUUGUGUGGGGCUUCCAUCACAAGAUUUAAAAAUAGACCGUGAGCAUGAUCCAAUCCUCGUCUCGAGAAUACCCUAUCCUCUAGGGUUACAAUCAUCAUAUAGUCCAUAGGCGUCGUAUACACCAAGUUCAACAUGUAUCACUUGUUUUCUUAUACACUAUUAACUAGAUUGCCACUCGUCCAUUGUUUACUAUCGACUAGAUGCCACUCGUUCUUUGUUUAACAUUAGAUCAACCAUUGAGCCCAUCUCUUUCUUUGCACUAUAGGAUUCACAAUCUCGACCCAAUCCUUACCGAUCCACUAUAUCAAGUAUCCAAUACAUGCUACGAUAUCAUCAAGGAAAGCAUAAGGAAAGGAAAUGCACAAUCAUCCUAUAAUGCAAUAAUACAAGAUGCAAAAAUCGAAAUGUACUAAGACAUAGAAGGGGGCCCAGUUGCUUCGAGAUGGUCACUACCCACCUCUUGGUGAUGCCGCGACGGUAGAAAACUCGACGCUGCGGUCUUUGCACGUCGCUUCAACUCCUCGGGGCGAAGCGAGCCCUCGAGUACUCGAUUCGGUGAUAACUCCGCACUCGCUCGUCGGAUCGAGAAACCGACUUCGCCGACGCGUUUCGGGACCUAGCAAUUAGGUUUGUGACCUAUUAAAUGAGAUCAAAACCCUAGUUUUCCAAAAUCCCAGUUUCGUGCCCUAGAAUGGCAACGGGGAAGAAAUCCGUGGUGCGAGCUUCGAUUUCGAGCUCGAACCAUCUAUUUAUCUCCAAUAGGUUCCAUUCGAACCAUUCCUAAACAACAAAAACCCCAAACCCUAGAAAUACCAUUAGAGGGUCUAGAGCUUACCUUCAACUCAAGGCUCCAAGCUUGCUCUAGCUUGAAGGAGAGAGGGAAGAAGAUGAUCUUCUUCUUCUUCUUGAUCUUCUCUUUCUCUUUUCUCUUCUUUUCCUUCUUCUUCUUCUUCUCUUUCUUCUUCUCUUUCUUUUCUUUCUAGAGAGAGAGAGGGAGAGAGUGUGAGAUGGAGAGAGGGCAAAUGAGAUGAAGAGAGGGGUCCCCAAGCCUCUAAUAAGGCCAUUUUGCAAUUGGCCCCCUCAACUUUUCAUCUUUAGAACCAGCCCUCUCAGGGCAUUUUCGCGUUCGGGAACCGGUCCUUGCCUGAGACACCGGUCCCCGGGAGACCGGUCCUUGUCGGAGAGACCGGUCCCCGAGAGCUGCAUUCUCGGGACUUAGCCAAAUUUCGGCAAGUCUCGCUGGGCCAACGUUCGGGAACCGGUCCCUGCCUGCCAGGGACCGGUCUCAUCAGAGACCUCCGCAGCCCAGCCUGAUGGGACCGGUCCCUCCCUGCCAGGGACCGGUCCCCGAGAGCAUUUCUGCUCCAGUGCAAAUUUUGCACUGGUGCUCUCGCGGACCUUUCCUUAAUGCACUUUAUGCAUUAUAGCCACCUUCGGACUUUCCGAAGCCUACACGCUCGACAAAUAGUCGAUUCCAAACCGAAGUCUAAUCCUUGGAUUUCGAGGAUUCACUUCCUUACAGAGGUCCUCUAGAUGCUUCAUUCGCGCCUCCUACCGCUGAGCCACCUCAGCCUGUCGCUGCGCCGCUGCCGUCUGCUGCGCCAACAGAUCAGUGAGAACCGCAAGCUGGGCCCUCAAGUCACGGACCUCACUAGAUCCGGAAGUAGCGGAGGUCUCGACCUCCUCGGGGUGUGCCGCAUCAUCCGCCCCGGCAGACUGGGAGCGUGUAAUCGGCAUCGUCACUACAAAACAUAAAAGCGCAAGUUAGUAACCCACGCUAUCGCAUCCCCGCUCAAAUAGAUAAAACCCCAAAUCAUGCGAAAGUAAGGAAGUGUCCUUCACUACUAACUCCCGAUGUUACGUUGUCGGCCGCCAACGUAACCCUCCGCGAAGUUAGAAGCCAUGCACUCCGAUCGAACUCUAACUUUUUAGAGUUAUCAUAAACCCAAUCGAAAUACUUUCGCUCACAAGUCAAUUAGACCUCGUCUCUCACGAGCCUAAUUCCUAUAGUCCAACCGGCCUAAGGUUUGCUAGGUCCACUAAGACUCAACCCUAGGCUCUGAUACCAAAUUAAUCUGUCACGCCCCGGGACCGGCGAAGGCCCUCCCGGUAGCGCGCCCAGACCCGCCAUAUGUCUACACAUAUAAGGCGUCUUCAAUACAAGCGGAAGUAAAGCAAGAGAUAGAAUAAAUAGAAUGAACAGCAACUAAUGAUAUCAGAGCGAGUAA